rnacentral:rRNA from 1 species
AUUGAACGCUGGCGGCAUGCCUUACACAUGCAAGUCGAACGGCAGCACGGGGCAACCUGGUGGCGAGUGGCGAACGGGUGAGUAAUGCAUCGGAACGUGCCAUUGAGUGGGGGAUAACGUAGCGAAAGUUGCGCUAAUACCGCAUAUUCUGUGAGCAGGAAAGCAGGGGACCGCAAGGCUUUGCGCUCUUUGAGCGGCCGAUGUCAGAUUAGCUAGUUGGUGAGGUAACGGCUUACCAAGGCGACGAUCUGUAGCGGGUCUGAGAGGAUGAUCCGCCACACUGGAACUGAGACACGGUCCAGACUCCUACGGGAGGCAGCAGUGGGGAAUUUUGGACAAUGGGCGCAAGCCUGAUCCAGCCAUGCCGCGUGAGUGAAGAAGGCCUGGUUGUAAGACUCUUCGGUCCGGGAACGGAAAGUACG